CCUCGGGCGCAGCUCAGGCCACGCCCACCCGCUGUGCGGCUGUGGGCACUUUGUGAGUUUGGGGAUUGUUGCGUCCUGUAAGCGGACUUCCCUGCUCAGCUGGCUCCCGGUUUCUCUGCUCACCUCCGGAUAAAUUACGGCGACUUCAGCGACGCGCAUGGCGCCUCCCAGCCGCUGCGAGUGUCCCUCUCCUUCCCGGCGUUUUCCUGGGUUGCUUCUGGCGGCCCUGGCGUUGCUGCUGUCCUCUCGCUCUGAUGCAUGUGGGCCACCACCAACAUUUCAAGCUAUGGAGCUCACUAGCAGACCAAAACCCUAUUAUAAGGUUGGGGAAAAAGUAAACUAUGACUGUAAAAAAGGAUACCACCACUUCGCUCCUUUUCUCACCCAUACUAUUUGUGAUCGGAAUCACACAUGGCUACCGAUCUCAGAUGAGCCCUGUGUUAAAAAAGUGUGUCACUAUAUACCUAAUCCUUUACAUGGCCAAGCAAUCCUUGCAAAUGGGACUUACUCAUUUGGAAAUCAGCUGCACUUCAUUUGUAAUGAUGGUUAUUACUUAAUUGGUAAAGAAAUUCUAUAUUGUGAACUUAAAGGAUCAGAAGCAGUUUGGAGUAGUAAGCCCCCAAUAUGUCAAAAGAUUCUGUGUAAACCACCUCCAAAAAUAAGCAAUGGAAAACACACCUUUAGUGAGGCAGACGUAUUUGAAUAUCUUGAUGCAGUAACUUAUAGUUGUGAUCCUGCACCUGGACCAGAUCCAUUUUCACUUGUUGGAGAGAGCACGAUUUACUGUCGUGACAAUUCAGUAUGGAGUGGUGAUGCUCCAGAGUGUAAAGUGGUCAAAUGUCAAUUUCCAGUAAUCGAAAAUGGAAGACAGAUAGCAGGACUUGGAAAAAAAUUUUACUACAAAGCAACAGUUAUAUUUGAAUGUUAUGAGGGUUUUCACAUCGUUGGCAGUGACACAAUUGUCUGUAACAGUAACAGUACUUGGGAUCCCCCAGUUCCAAAGUGUGUUAAAGAGCCGCCUCCUUCCAGUACAAAACCUCCAACCUUGAGUCAUUCAGUGUCGACUUCUCCUGCUACAAUAUCUCCAACUUCCUGUGUCUCAGGUCCUAGACCUACUUACAAGCCUCCAGUUUCACGUUAUCCAGGAUAUCCCAAUCCUGAUGAAGGAAGGCUUGACAGUUUGGAUGAAUGGGCCAUUGCUCUGAUUGUUAUUGCUAUACUUGUUGCAAUUGCAAUAAUUUCUGUUGGCCUGCACAGAUAUCUUCAAAGAAGGAAGAAGAAAGGGUAAAUUAAAGCAUGUUUUUUCUAACUUCUUAGUCUUUCUUAUCCUUGACGUGCUUUUGUACAGUUUAAGUUUGUAAUCUUAAGUAUUGCAUGCUAUCUUUUUUUCAGACAAUGUGCCUGCGUUAGUGUGUCCUACCAAUUGCAUUUCUUUACUAAAAAUAUUUUCAGCUUUUAAUAUCACUACAGCAUAAAAAGUCUGUGCAAGUUACUACGGCUAUUAUGACUUUAAGAAAACUUAUCUGGAAUUUGAGGUUUAAAUUAUUUAACAAAUCGUGACCACUAUGAGGCCUUCUCUACUACCCUAACUAUUCUCUGUUUCAUAAAUUGCACUGGUGGCCAAAAUUAAAUCUAAAAUAUUUCACUGUGGAGACUAUGACAGUUGUAUGCACUAGAAUUUUUAUAAUGAAAGUUUCCACUUGUCUAUAUAACUUAGCUAGUUGUAAGAAGCUAUGUAGGCAUCUCAUUUAAAUACCCAAUUUGAUGCCGUUUCAUUUGAGUUGUUAUUUAUACAUGUUAAACUGGGGGAUUAAAAACAACACUAUCAGAUUUCCCUCUUAUGCCCUCUGAAUUUACCAGAUUGCAGUAAAACUGAUGGGGUUAAACUUGCUGAAAGGGGUUAGAUUUAUAAGGUACCUCAAUUAACUUUUGUGUGUCUUUUAAUCUAUAAAAAUGUAAAAAUUGAGUGGGCUUAGAAUAGUAGAAAAUUGUAAAAGUACAUAUCUUCUAACAAAAAUAGGGUUUUUAAACGUCAAACUCAAAUUUUAGUUAGAGAGCUUAAAUUUAACAGAAUACUUAGAAUGAAUCCUGGAACAUAAACUAAGAUUAGGUGCUUCAAAAUUUCUGAAAGAUAAUAUACAUUCAUGUUUAUUGAUUUUUUUAAAAUGUUGCCCUCUAUAGUUUUAGAAAUAGCUUUGAAAUCUAACCUAAUUAAGAUUUUUGGUACUCAUGAUUUUAUGAUAUAUAUGUCCCUUUUAUACUGAUUAUCAAGUUUGGGCCAAGUCAUAAAAGUACAUUCUUUACUCAAAAGAAACUCAAACUUUUUUCAUAUUACUUGGUUAUCUUUUUAAAUACCCAUAAUCCCUUCACUUGAAUCUUAAAUCUUAUAUUUAUGGAAUGUGAUAUGCAUAGUUGAUUUAUCUAUCAGUUGUAUGUUUUAAAAGUUACAUGUCUACAGCAAUGUGAGUACAAAAUACUAAUAAUGGAAUAUUUGCACAAGUCCAUAAGAUUUGUGUAUAAACAACCUCUAAGGAAAGCAAACAAAGUCACAUUCUGCUCAUUUUCCUUCUUUGUUUAAAAUAUCACUGCAUUAGAAUUUUUAAAGGUUACUUAACAAGUAUUAAUCAAACUCUCUCUAGCUAGCAGUUAAUGGGUCUCUCUCUUUUUUUUUUUUUUUUUUUUUUUUGAGAUGGAGUAUCGUCACCCUAUCGCCCAGGUUGGAGUACAAUGGCACAACCUUGGCGAGUUCAAAGGAUUCUCCUGCCUCAGGCUUCCAAGUAGCUGAGAUUACAAGCAUGCAAUACCACCCCGGCUAAUUACAAGUGCACAACACCACCCCAGCAAAUCUGUUGUACCUGUACCAAAGACCAGGUUUCACCAUGUUGGUCAGGCUGGUCUUAAACUCCCAACCUCAGGUAAUCUGCCUGCCUCAGCCUCCCAAAGUGCUGGGAUUACAGGGAUGAGCCACCACACCUGGCCUAAAUGGAUCUUUCAAAACUGAACAGUUAUCUGACUAUUGUACUCCCAAAUUAAUGGUUCAAUAGCAAUAGUGAACUGAGAUUGCAAAAUUAAUUUGGUGAUUUUUUUAAAACCCAUAUGUUACAGCAUAGGGUCCAACAGACAAUUGCUAUUAUUAAAAUUUUAAAAUAUUUUGGGAAGGUGUAAUAUCUUUAGCCAAUGCAACAUAAGUAAUUCUGUAAAUAGUAGCACAACUUGAGGAAAAAUCAUCCAAAAAAUAGUGUGAGAGAGGAAACUCAUGAUUGCCUUUGAAUUUUAAAAUAUAAACUGCAUGGGACUCUUUUAGAAUAGAUGUUGCCCUUUUUAUGACAGGAACAUACUCGAUUGGAAAUUCAGCGUAAUAUGUAUGGCUGAAUCCAAAGCUAGGCUCUCCUUAUGGAUCUGUUAUUUUGUAGUUCCUGUUUAUUUUGAUAGCUGAAUUGAAUGUGAGAGUGGUUUAUCUUUCUUCUUCAGAGUCUAGAGCAAAUGCUUCUCUGACUUUAAUGUGCACAUUAAUUACCUGGAAAUCUCUUAAAGUACAGGAUCUGAUUCAUAAGGUUUGGGAUGGAGCCUGAGACCCUGCCUGUCUAGUGAGCUUCCAGCACUGAUGCUGCUGCUGGGCUUGGGCUGCAUUGACCAGGGUGUCGACCACUACUGAUGUGCCCAUGUUGUUGAGAUCUGAAGAAAUGCUAUCAAGCUUAUUUUUCUAAUGUUAAAGAUAAUUGGAGUUUUUAAAAUUCCCCAUCCGUGUGUAUCCUUAAAAAAAGGCUCUGGGGUAAUAAAUAGUACUUGGCUUGUCUUACUUUUUUUUUUAACUCCUUAAAAACAUAAAGAUUUCUAUGAUUUUCUUUGCACCGUUUAAUGUCCAUAAUCUUGUCCCCCCAGAUUGGCUGUUUUGGCCUUAGAAACUUCUUAUAAAGAUUAUAAAAUGUCUAGAGUUACUUCUCUCCUUCCAGGGGUAACUGGAAGCAGGCUAGCAGGCACAAAUAAUCGCAAAUUGCUGUUAAAGCCUGGCACAAAAUGUAUUUGAUGUAAACUGGUAUUUAUGAUGAUUUGGGAACAUAAUUACCCUUCUGCAGCCUUCAUCUCAAAGUACAAAAAUAGUGUAAGUAGUCAUUUUAAGAUCAUCCAACAUCAUUUACAUUACUUGACGAAAGAUGGCCAAAAGGUUAAAGGAUUCUGCUUUCGUAGCUCUCAGCUAAGAACAGUAUAGGAUACCAGUUGGUCCAAAACAGCUCCCAUCCACAUGCUCCCUCCUUUUCCCCUCCCAUUUCCUUUCUUUACUGAUUCUUCUGCCAUACUUUUUACUCUUGGAAGCCACAGCCCCGUCUUUGCUACUGCUUGAGUUCUGUAUUGCAUGGUAUGACUGUACUUCUGAACAACGUAUGAUUUUUGUUCACAUAAAUAUUUUCAUUACUUGUAAUGAUUUUUUAACUCUGGUUAAGUUGUCCCUGACCAUGUGACAGUUUGGCUAAGUUAGUAAAGUUAUUUGCAUAAUUUACAUAUUUAUUACCUGUGACAAAUUGUUGUUCCUUUUUUCCCUUGGGGUAUUUGUUAUUUUGUAUAACCUAAACUGACUUUUAAUGUUACAUUAAUGUUGACUGACCCAAUUACUUUGU